CAGAAAAUAGUUUAAUUGGAAAAAUGUUAGUUUUGGGAACUGAUGAUGGGAGAAUCUCUCUUUUCUGA
rnacentral:tRNA from 1 species